UACGUAGGGGGCAAGCGUUGUCCGGAAUCAUUGGGCGUAAAGAGCGCGUAGGCGGCCCUGUAAGUCCGCUGUGAAAGUCAAGGGCUCAACCCUUGGAUGCCGGUGGAUACUGCAGGGCUAGAGUCCGGAAGAGGCGAGUGGAAUUCCUGGUGUAGCGGUGAAAUGCGCAGAUAUCAGGAGGAACACCGAUGGCGAAGGCAGCUCGCUGGGACGGUACUGACACUGAGGCGCGAAAGCCAGGGGAGCAAACGGG
rnacentral:rRNA from 1 species